rnacentral:rRNA from 1 species
AUGGAUAAAGCUGCGGCAUACAUGAAGAAGAAGAAUUUGGAGAUUCCUACUACAUUCAAAGGUAAAUCAUUUGCUACCAUUGACCCUGAUGAGCUUGUUGUUAAGAUUGAUAGUGUAGAUCUGUGCAUUGGUAAGGAUGAACAAAAACGAAAAGACAUCAUUCUGGACUUAAUUAACUAUGACAAAGCUAGAUGCCUUCAAUUUUCUAAUGAGAAUCCGGAGAUUGUUCUCCCCGCUAGCUUGGAUUUGGAUGAUUUUAAUGAUUGUACCUCACAAAAUUUUGAUAGUAGUGCUUUCACUAAUGGAGCAGAUGGCACUGCUGAUCCAUUUUUGGAAAGCCCUGCUCUGAAUACUAAGAAAAAGCCUUGUGGCUUAUCUCACCCUUUUAGAGUAAAAUGUUAG